rnacentral:rRNA from 1 species
CCUACGGGUGGCCGCAGUGAGGAAUAUUGGUCAAUGGGCGUAAGCCUGAACCAGCCAAGUCGCGUGAGGGAUGAAGGUUCUAUGGAUCGUAAACCUCUUUUAUAAGGGAAUAAAGUGUGGGACGUGUCCUAUUUUGUAUGUACCUUAUGAAUAAGGAUCGGCUAACUCCGUGCCAGCAGCCGCGGUAAUACGGGGGAUCCGAGCGUUAGCCGGAUUUAUUGGGUUUAAAGGGUGCGUAGGCGGCCUUUUAAGUCAGCGGGGAAAGUCGUGGGCUCAACCAUAGUAUUGCCGUUGAAACUGGGUGGCUUGAGUAUGUUUGAGGCAGGCGGAAUGCGUGGUGUAGCGGUGAAAUGCUUAGAUAUCACGCAGAACCCCGAUUGCGAAGGCAGCCUGCCAGGCCAUGACUGACGCUGAUGCACGAAAGCGUGGGGAUCAAACAGGAUUAGAUACCCUUGUAGUC